rnacentral:rRNA from 1 species
AUUGAACGCUGGCGGCAGGCUUAACACAUGCAAGUCGAGCGAGCGGCGGACGGGUGAGUAAUGUCUGGGAAACUGCCUGAUGGAGGGGGAUAACUACUGGAAACGGUAGCUAAUACCGCAUACCAUCAGAUGUGCCCAGAUGGGAUUAGCUAGUAGGUGGGGUAAUGGCGCACCUAGGCGACGAUCCCUAGCUGGUCUGAGAGGAUGACCAGCCACACUGGAACUGUGACACGGUCCAGACUCCUUCGGGUGGCAGCAGUGUGGAAUAUUGCACAAUUGGCGCGAGCCUGAUGCAGCCAGGCCGCGUGUUUGAAGAAGGCCUUCGGUUUGUAAAGCACUUUCAGCCGGGAGGCGUUACUCACAGAAGAAGCACCGGCUAACUCCGUGCCAGCAGCCGCGGUAAUAC